UACGGAGGAUCCGAGCAUUAUCCGGAUUUAUUGGGUUUAAAGGGUGCGCAGGCGGGAGAUUAAGUCGGCGGUGAAAUUUUGCAGCUCAACUGUAAAAGUGCCUUCGAAACUGGUUUCCUUGAGUGUAGAUGAAGUAGGCGGAAUUUGUGGUGUAGCGGUGAAAUGCAUAGAUAUCACGAGGAACUCCGAUUGCGCAGGCAGCUUACUAAACUACUACUGACGCUCAGGCACGAAGGCGUGGGGAUCAAACAGGAUUAGAUACCCCGGUAGU
rnacentral:rRNA from 1 species